AUGGUCCUACGGGAGGCAGCAGUGAGGAAUAUUGGUCAAUGGCCGUAAGGCUGAACCAGCCAAGUCGCGUGAGGGAAGACUGCCCUAUGGGUUGUAAACCUCUUUUAUGCGGGGAUAAAGGUGUCGACGUGUGGAUGUUUGCAGGUACCGCAUGAAUAAGGACCGGCUAAUUCCGUGCCAGCAGCCGCGGUAAUACGGAAGGUCCGGGCGUUAUCCGGAUUUAUUGGGUUUAAAGGGAGCGUAGGCCG
rnacentral:rRNA from 1 species